rnacentral:lncRNA from 1 species
UUAUAUUAUACUAUACUACAUCUUAAAUUACAAAGUCGGUGAUUGUCUUUUUCCUCACUAUCAGCCAGCAUUCUCCUUUUUCCCCCUUUCAGCUACGCGUGUAUAACCUAUGUUUUCUCCUUAACAUGUGUGCUCUGCUCUUGAAGCUUUCUUCUUUCAGAACUACCGAAGAUUUAGAGAAGUAUCAGAUGCAACCCUAGAAUUGAACCUGCAGAUUUUCAAAUCGACUAUCAGAUUUGUCGUUCAGAUGUAAUAGUGUCAUCCUUUGUUUUAAGAGAUGGAGAUCAGUCUUGAAGUUCUGGAGAUCGGAACUUGGUCUUCUGGAUAUUAGCAAAUUAUAUGUGAUAUAUCUUCAUUUUGCUUUGUAUUUAAUUUUAUAUACCACGAAGAAUUGUUCUUAGUUUAUGAUGUAUUGAUGAUUGUUUUAUGAUUCUUCGAGAAGAUUUAUGAAAUUCUUUUUUGGUCUAAACUCAUGUCACCAAUUUCUGUCAAUUGUGAUGGUUGCUAAGCAUUAAUGUAGAGACUUAAGGCACAAAUUUCCAAUUAGAGAGGCACGUUUUAAUUCUAAUAGUGUUAGAAGCCUAUGUGAAUGUGGAAAAUUUAUAUAUGUCUCUUUAGAAGAGGUCUAUGUUCAUAA